rnacentral:lncRNA from 1 species
GAAUUUUAUAACGCAGAAAAUCUGAAAAAUGAGCAUAUAGUGAAGACCUAACAAAUCAAAUAAGCUACUAACAAAAACUACAAUAAAACUAACAAAUAAAAAACCCAAUCACCAGGACUGCAAGACUAACCUAUUAUCUAAUCACCUAGCAACUAUUUCCUACCAUUCCAUUAAUAUGCUAAAAAUUAAACAAAUAGUGGACAGCACACCGUAUUAAAUGGAGGUGGUUAAUUCAGUAAGGUAACUGCUCUAGUCGCCCUCUAGCAAAAGAAGCAGUUGC